rnacentral:rRNA from 1 species
UGCCAGCCGCCGCGGUAACACGUAGGGACCGAGCGUUGUCCGGAUUUAUUGGGCGUAAAGAGCUCGUAGGCGGUUCGGUAAGUCAGGUGUGAAAGCUCGAGGCUCAACCUCGAGAUGCCACCUGAUACUGCUGUGACUUGAGUCCGGUAGAGGAGUGUGGAAUUCCUGGUGUAGCGGUGAAAUGCGCAGAUAUCAGGAGGAACACCAAUUGCGAAGGCAGCACUCUGGGCCGGUACUGACGCUGAGGAGCGAAAGCGUGGGGAGCGAACAGGAUUAGAUA